rnacentral:rRNA from 1 species
GAUGAACGCUGGCGGCGUGCCUAAUACAUGCAAGUCGAGCGAACAGACGAGGAGCUUGCUCCUCUGACGUUAGCGGCGGACGGGUGAGUAACACGUGGAUAACCUACCUAUAAGACUGGGAUAACUUCGGGAAACCGGAGCUAAUACCGGAUAAUAUAUUGAACCGCAUGGUUCAAUAGUGAAAGACGGUUUUGCUGUCACUUAUAGAUGGAUCCGCGCCGCAUUAGCUAGUUGGUAAGGUAACGGCUUAUCAAGGCAACGAUGCGUAGCCGACCUGAGAGGGUGAUCGGCCACACUGGAACUGAGACAGGGUCCAGACGCCUACGGGAGGCAGCAGUAGGGAAUCUUCCGCAAUGGGCGAAAGCCUGACGGAGCAACGCCGAGUGAGUGAUGAAGGUCUUCGGAUCGUAAAACUCUGUUAUUGGGGAAGAACAAAUGUGUAAGUAACUAUGCACGUCUUGACGGUACCUAAUCAGAAAGCCACGGCUAACUACGUG